rnacentral:sRNA from 1 species
GCUCAAGAUUGCUUCUGCCAUUAUUCCAACCUUGAUUGCCGGUAGCUUUUUUGUAGCUUAUCCGACACAAGGGACCACUUUUCUCCUCCUUGGUGACCAUUUCGUCCCCGUCAUUUAUUUGAACCCUACUGGGAAUUGAGUUUGGGGCGUGAAUUUGAAUACCAAGUUCCAGAAAAUAUUCCAUAUGGGGCUUGGGCAUAGCAACGACAAUUAUCGAGGUUGAUCUACAACACAUGUGGUUCCACGGGAACAAUUGAUAGCGCGCCCUAUAUUGACCAGAAAGUUGAUCCUCUCCUGGCCAUAUCUGAAGAGGGUUCGGGAUUUUUGUUGGGUUCGGGUUCUGAAUUUUCUUCACUUCGAUGAUGGCUGUUGAAAAUUGGGUAUCUUGGUUUUCUCAGAAUUGCUUUAGUACUUCUAUAUUGUCAGGGCAUAAAACCACAUCUUAGUGGAGAAGGGAUUGGGUGAAACAAUUCCGCCGUACCCUCAUGAGGCAAGAAUUCCCCUCUCAUGACGUCGGAAGGGAGAAGGGAGAAGGAUAUGGGUGAAUUUCAAGAGUCAAAUUGAAUCAGACAACAUGUACGGUACCUCACGAUGGGGAAGACUGAUAAGAGAGCAGCAUAGAGAGGUUAUAUAUGAUUACCAUUAAAGGACGCUUUUGAAAAUAUAAUAGCUAAGAUAAUGAGACAAAUCUCUCUGAAUAGAGAAUCAAGAGAGUUACGAGUACUCAUUGCAAGUCGCUCUGGUGGUGCAGCAGAUCUCCUUCAACGCGUUAUUAUUUCUCUUUCCAUUUUCUUUUGUUAGCCAUUCUCCAUUUCAUUCCCCCCUCCCUCCCUUUCUGGUUUUCGGGUUUUCUGCUUCCCGAAGAAAAGAAGCUGUGUUGUGUCG